UACAGAGGUCCCAAGCGUUGUUCGGAUUCAUUGGGCGUAAAGGGUGCGUAGGUGGCGCCGUAAGUGGGGUGUGAAAUUUCGGAGCUUAACUCCGAAACUGCAUUCCAUACUGCGGUGCUUGAGGACUGGAGAGGAGACUGGAAUUCAUGGUGUAGCAGUGAAAUGCGUAGAGAUCAUGAGGAAGACCAGUGGCGAAGGCGGGUCUCUGGACAGUUCCUGACACUGAAGCACGAAGGCUAGGGGAGCGAACGGG
rnacentral:rRNA from 1 species